rnacentral:rRNA from 1 species
UAUGUAGGGGGCGAGCGUUGUCCGGAAUGAUUGGGCGUAAAGGGCGCGUAGGCGGCUCGGUAAGUCUGGAGUGAAAGUCCUGUUUUCAAGAUGGGAAUUACUUUGGAUACUGUCGAGCUUGAGUGCAGGGGAGGUAAGUGGAAUUCCCAGUGUAGCGGUGAAAUGCGUAGAGAUUGGGAGGAACACCAGUGGCGAAGGCGACUUACUGGACUGUAACUGACGCUGGGGCGCGAAAGUGUGGGGAGCAAAC